AUUCUUAUUAUAUAAUUUAGAAUUGUUUUUCGGGGAAGGAAUAAGUUUAUUUUAGUUUUGCACUAAUUAUGGUUAAUGUUUAGUAUCAAAAUAUUUAUUUAAAAUGUUGUUUGUGAGAGAGUGUGUGUGAGGAAGACAUGCGCAUUGAUGAAGCCUGAAACUGUGGUAUCACUGAUAUGGUCAUGAAAAACUGUCAAAGGUCCACCAUGGAAGUCUCUGGUGGGGACCCAUUGACCCUCAAGUUUAGCGCUGGUAGUAGAGGAGGUUGUAGAGAUAUAGUAGAGGGAGGAGAGAAGAGGUCGGAAAGAAAGGAACCCUUUUUCAUCCUUAGGAGGGGAUAUAUUUCUAAAUAAAAGGGGUAUAUAUUAUAUGUGAUUAUUUUA
rnacentral:misc_RNA from 1 species